GGGUAUGUAGCUCAGUUGGUUAGAGCACACGACUGUCGAUCGUGAGGCCGCGAGUUCGAACCUCGCCAUUCCCGCCA
rnacentral:tRNA from 1 species